GCAGCAUGGUCUUAGUUUGCUAAGGCUGAUGGCGACCGGCGCACGGGUGAGUAACACGUAUCCAACCUGCCGUCUACUCUUGGCCAGCCUUCUGAAAGGAAGAUUAAUCCAGGAUGGGAUCAUGAGUUCACAUGUCCGCAUGAUUAAAGGUAUUUUCCGGUAGACGAUGGGGAUGCGUUCCAUUAGAUAGUAGGCGGGGUAACGGCCCACCUAGUCAACGAUGGAUAGGGGUUCUGAGAGGAAGGUCCCCCACAUUGGAACUGAGACACGGUCCAAACUCCUACGGGAGGCAGCAGUAAGGAAUAUUGGUCAAUGGGCGAUGGCCUGAACCAGCCAAGUAGCGUGAAGGAUGACUGCCCUAUGGGUUGUAAACUUCUUUUAUAAAGGAAUAAAGUCGGGUAUGCAUACCCGUUUGCAUGUACUUUAUGAAUAAGGAUCGGCUAACUCCGUGCCAGCAGCCGCGGUAAUACGGAGGAUCCGAGCGUUAUCCGGAUUUAUUGGGUUUAAAGGGAGCGUAGAUGGAUGUUUAAGUCAGUUGUGAAAGUUUGCGGCUCAACCGUAAAAUUGCAGUUGAUACUGGACGUCUUGAGUGCAGUUGAGGCAGGCGGAAUUCGUGGUGUAGCGGUGAAAUGCUUAGAUAUCACGAAGAACUCCGAUUGCGAAGGCAGCCUGCUAAGCU
rnacentral:rRNA from 1 species